rnacentral:misc_RNA from 1 species
AACGCAAAUUGCGCCUUCUUUCGGAAGGCAUGUCUGUUUGAGGGCACCAUUUAACAAAUAAUGUGCGCGUCGUUUUUACGAGCGACGUGCGCACGUUGAUGAGCUUUUCCGAAAAAACCAGGUUUUUUUGGUGGCGCAUAAUGAACAGCGUGGGCUUUUUCUUCGAUUCUCGUGUAGUAAAUCUUCAACGCUUGGAUUGAGAAAAAGUGCGUGCCGCGCAAUGGGUGUGGCGAAUUUUACCCCUGCCCCAAUGCCACUCUUUCCCUGCGAAAGAACAUCUUUUAUUUAGGGCCUCAAAUCAGACAAGAGUACCCGCUGAACUUAA